rnacentral:lncRNA from 1 species
GAAAAUAUAAUUAAAUAAAUAAAACAAAUAAUAAAUAAAUAAAGAGAGAGAAUAUAAUUACAAAAUUAUCUCAAUUUUAGUUCCAAAAAUUACUAAAAGAAUUAAUAACUUUUAUAAGUUACUAGUAUUUUCCACCUUCCAUUUAUGAUUUGAUUUCCUUAAUUUAAUUUUAUAUGAAAUGGACUCAAUUUGAAUUUGGAAUGAAUGGAGUAUAUACAUUGAAUUAUUGACAAGAAUCAUAUGAAAAAAUUUAUCACCACUCAGUCGUGUCAUCCAACAUAUAAGAAUCAAAUGGGUUUGUUUCAAAGGCAAGUUGCCUUAACCUUAUCUUGUGGUUAGGUUCUUCACCACCUAAGAAGAGCAUGGAAACUUUAUCAAACUCUCUUUCAAAUCUCAAAAUCUCAUCACUCCCAACACCAAAUCGUGAAUUCCAUCACUUCACAAGAACUCCUCAUGCAAUCCCUAAUCUUCCUGCACAACCAAAACCCCCAAAAAUCACAAAUUUCUCACACAAGAAUCAUUCUGUACCAUUCUCUUCUUCAAAACAGUAUUCCAAUAGACACGAAAUUGUUUAAAAGAGGAAAAAUACUCUUCUACUAAUCGCAAAUUAGUUUAUAACGAAAAUUGCAUUACAUUUUCUACUGAUAGAAAUUGUUCUAAUUUUGAACAAAAUUCCUAACUCUAACCCUAAUUGCUCCACUUUGUUUCUGCACUGUUUUCGCAAUCCCAAACAUUUGAUCUUUUCCAAUUUCUCUUUUGAUGAAAUNCAAAGGUUUUAAUGAUUAUCUAAAAAGGUUUUGUUAAUUAUUUAUAGACUUAUUGAUUGAUUUAAGAAAUGAUUACAGAGUAAUUUAUAGUUAUGAUGGUCGAGUACAUAUCAAUAGCUUGGAAAAUUUGAAAUAAAGUUUAGCUUGAAAUCAAAUAAGUCUUAUAUACUCCUUUAGAAAAGCCUAAACAACAAUCCGUUGUAGUCUAGUUGGUCAGGAUACUCGCUCUCACCCGAGAGACCCGGGUUCAAGUCCCGGCAAGGAAUUUUUUUCAUCAUUUUUUGUUGUAUUUUGAUUGAAUUGAAAAACUGUUUACAUACAGUAUUCCAAUAGACACGAAAUUGUUUAAAAGAGGAAAAAUACUCUUCUACUAAUCGCAAAUUAGUUUAUACAGAAAAUUGCAUUACAUUUUCUACUGAUAGAAAUGUUCUAAUUUUGAACAAAAUUCCUAACUCUAACCCUAAUUGCUCCACUUUGUUUCUGCACUGUUUUCGCAAUCCCAAACAUUUGAUCUUUUCCAAUUUCUCUUUUGAUGAAAUCAACACAACUUGAGUUCCACACAAUUCAUCGUAAAUCCUCUCGAACUCUUCCAACACUUCCGCAACUAUUCCCAAUUUCCUCUUCUUAGCCAACAUCUUCACAACCCAACCACAUGCCGCUGAAAAUUCCCCUGCUCCACCACCUUCCUCACCGCCGAAGCAUCAAUACCGCUAUCCGACUGAAGCUUCGAUUUCCUGAGGAAUUUCAAGAGUCGCUGAACAUCCUUUUGUACUAAGUGAAGUGUAUUGGUGGUUUGAGCUACAUCUAUGAUCGCAGCAGCAUAUCCAGUAGCAGCCUUGUGAUGGAAUAUUGGAGAAGAUUGUUUGAGUUUGAGAGAUGGGUGGUUGGAUGUAAACAGUUUUUCAAUUCAAUCAAAAUACACAAAAUGAAAAUGAAAAAAUUCCGUUGCCGGGACUUGAACCCGGGUCUCUCGGGUGAGAGCCGAGUAUCCUGACCAACUAGACUACAACGGAUUCAUGUCAAGGUUUCGUUAAUAUAUUUAUAUAAUAGUUUCUUACGUACAAGCUAAACUUCAUUUCAAUUUUUCCACUGUUGAUGUGCUUUUACCGUCAUAAUUAUAAAUUAUGUAAUAUAUUCUGUCACUAAAUUACUUCA